GAUGAACGCUAGCGGGAGGCCUAACACAUGCAAGCCGAGCGGUAUUGUUUCUUCGGAAAUGAGAGAACGGCGUACGGGUGCGGAACACGUGUGCAACCUGCCUUUAUCUGGGGGAUAGCCUUUCGAAAGGAAGAUUAAUACUCCAUAACAUAUUGAACGGCAUCGUUUAAUAUUGAAAGCUCCGGCGGAUAGAGAUGGGCACGCGCAAGAUUAGCUAGUUGGUGAGGUAACGGCUCACCAAGGCGAUGAUCUUUAGGGGGCCUGAGAGGGUGAUCCCCCACACUGGUACUGAGACACGGACCAGACUCCUACGGGAGGCAGCAGUGAGGAAUAUUGGUCAAUGGGUGCAAGCCUGAACCAGCCAUCCCGCGUGAAGGACGACUGCCCUAUGGGUUGUAAACUUCUUUUGUACAUGAAGAACGGGCCUUACGUGUAAGGUUAUGACGGUAAUGUACGAAUAAGCAUCGGCUAACUCCGUGCCAGCAGCCGCAGUAACAC
rnacentral:rRNA from 1 species